rnacentral:rRNA from 1 species
CAGGACGAACGCUGGCGGCGUGCCUAAUACAUGCAAGUCGAGCGGACAGAAGGGAGCUUGCUCCCGGAUGUUAGCGGCGGACGGGUGAGUAACACGUGGGUAACCUGCCUGUAAGACUGGGAUAACUCCGGGAAACCGGAGCUAAUACCGGAUAGUUCCUUGAACCGCAUGGUUCAAGGAUGAAAGACGGUUUCGGCUGUCACUUACAGAUGGACCCGCGGCGCAUUAGCUAGUUGGUGAGGUAACGGCUCACCAAGGCGACGAUGCGUAGCCGACCUGAGAGGGUGAUCGGCCACACUGGGACUGAGACACGGCCCAGACUCCUACGGGAGGCAGCAGUAGGGAAUCUUCCGCAAUGGACGAAAGUCUGACGGAGCAACGCCGCGUGAGUGAUGAAGGUUUUCGGAU